rnacentral:rRNA from 1 species
AGCGAACGCUGGCGGCAGGCUUAACACGUGUAAGUCGAACGCUCACCUUCGGGUGGGAGUGGCAGACGGGUGAGUAACACGUGGGAACGUACCCUUUGGUUCGGGACAACUCUGGGAAACUGGAGCUAAUACCGGAUACGCCCUUUUGGGGAAAGGUUUACUGCCGAAGGAUCGGCCCGCGUCUGAUUAGCUAGUUGGUGGGGUAACGGCCUACCAAGGCGACGAUCAGUAGCUGGUCUGAGAGGAUGAUCAGCCACACUGGGACUGAGACACGGCCCAGACUCCUACGGGAGGCAGCAGUGGGGAAUAUUGGACAAUGGGCGCAAGCCUGAUCCAGCCAUGCCGCGUGAGUGAUGAAGGCCUUAGGGUUGUAAAGCUCUUUUAUCCGGGACGAUAAUGACGGUACCGGAGGAAUAAGCCCCGGCUAACUUCGUGCCAGCAGCCGCAGUAAAAC